rnacentral:rRNA from 1 species
CCCUAUUAUUAGGAGUAAAAACUAGUUGGUGAGUAAGAGUGAUAAUUGAAAACUAUCCAGAAUGGCGGUUUUUUUUAUUUUCAGGAAAAUGUGUUUUUGAAACGAAAAUACACGAAAAUCUUUCUUACUUUGGAAGCCCAUCUUGUACACCGCCGUCUGAAGGGUCAACUAAAAAAUUUAGCCCCUUUUCUUUUAAAGAAAUAAGUCAGGUAAGGUGCAGACUAUGAGUAAGAAGAAAUGCAUUUCCUUAAGAAUCGGAUGGAUGGUUGAAACACCAUUUUAAAGGAGAAUUUGAAAGUAAGAAUUUUUUAUUAUAAAAUCCUGAAAUAAUACCAAAAAAAUGUACACAUCGCCG